rnacentral:lncRNA from 1 species
GGAUUGAACCCAGAGCCUCUUGCAUGCUGCACAAGCAUUCCAGCACUAAAUUCUGUGGUAGUUGCCUUUCUAACACCAGCACCCAGCUCCUUGCCUUCACACUUACUUUGCUGCCUCCAUCUUGUGUAGGUCACAGUCCUACAGCACUUCUCCCUCUUAUCAAUAGCUGUGUAAUGAAUGUCUGAGACUCACUGUAUAACCCAGGCUGGCCUCAAACCUUCAAUCCUCCUGCCUCAGCCCCCUGCUAUGAGCUUUCUAUAGAGAAAGAAAAGAAAAGAAAAGAAAAGAAAAGAAAAGAAAAGAAAAGAAAAGAAAAGAAAAGAAAAGAAAAGGAAAGAAAAAUCCUCAUAUAAAAACCACAGGAAGAGCUAACAGACCCAAACCAGUACUGUGCUAAGCUCUAUCACAUUGUAUGCCCCUUUUCUGCCUGGGGAUUGCUGAGAGACCUCUGAGUGUCCUUCCCUGACAUCACACUCAUCUAGAUAUUUCUAGAGUAAGGAAGGAGUCACAGAACACCAGAUGGGCCCUGAAUGCCAUGAUCCUAACAUCCAGUGCACAUGUUCUUCUGUACUGCAGACAUAACCAGGCAGUGCUGCCUCAGCCUCUUCUGUACUGCAGACAUAACCAGGCAGUGCUGCCUCAGCCUCUUGGACAUUGUCGAUGCCAAAUUACUGAGCCACAAGUCACUGUGACAUUGGAUAAGUUGUUCGGUUAAGUUAUUCAAGAUCAUUAAGGGAGGAUUCCAAGAGGUUGUUUUGUCCCUCUUUGUGUUCUGAGAGAGCGUAUCUUUUGCCUUGGGUCCUAUAAACCUAUGAAAUAUUUUCAACACCAACCUCAGACAGUGUAAGUGUAAGAUUGCAAUGUGGAGGAGCCACUUCACUGAGAUCUCAGAUAGACAGCUAGAUGGUGCUGUCUGGAGCUCACAGGAUAUAAAAGCUGAUACUUGGAUAGAGAUCUGUGUAGAGGGAAUUGUAUUUGCUUUUAGAGCCAUGCACUUGAAUUUCCUGACUUGGUGUUAAACCAACAGUACCUUAAUGCAGGCGUGGGUUUAUUUGUGUAGGAAUGAUUUCCUGCAUGUUUGUAUGUGCACCAUUGUGCAUGCCUGAAGAAAAUUCAGAUCUCUUAGAACUGGACUUACAGACAGGUCUGAGCUGCCAAAUGUAUACUUGGAACUGAACCCCAGUCCUUUGCAAGAGCAGCAAGUGCCUUUAAAUACUGAGACAUCUCUCCAGCUGUGUGAACUUAUUUGAAAACAGGGGAAAGCAACGAAGAGAAGUGUUGGGGGAUUUAGGGACAGUCAGUCUUAUUUUCUUUUACUGAUGGUCUUACUUACCAGAAGUCUUACUUACCAGCUGGUGCCAUCCAUGCCUGUGGGCAGAUGAGGAUUACAGGGAGCCCCACCCCACAUAUGCAAGGUACCUGAGUGGGCUCUGCAGAUGUGGUUGGAUUUGAAUAUUUGGGUUCAUGGGCUAGAUUCCAGGAGGUGAUCUUUAAACACUUCUGUGUUGACAUCUGUUUUGUAGGAGGGGUUAUCUAUAACCACAUUCCUUUCUGACUUCAAAACAGAAACAUUUAAUACAUGAAAAAUUUUAAGUCAGACUAACACUUAGGGAAAUAUUAAAUUAUUUAAAAUUUAGAUGUUACC